rnacentral:rRNA from 1 species
GAUGAAUGCUGGCGGCGUGCCUGAGAUAUGCAAGUCGAACGGGACUUAGUGAAGCCGCAAGGCAGAUCUAGAUUCAGUGGCGGACGGCUGAGUAACGCGUAGAAUCUCCCCCAUGAGUCUCACAUAGCUCACCGAAGGGUGGGGUAAUUUGAGAUAGUCUGCUCCGCAAGGAGCAGUAAAGCCGCAAGGCGCUUUGGGAUGAGCUUGCGUCCUAUCAGGUAGUUGGUGGGGUAAUGGCCCACCAAGCCUACAACGGGUAGCUGGUCUCAUGAGGAUGAUCAGCCAGAGGGGGACUGAGACACGGCCCCCACUCCUACGGGAGGCAGCAAUCAGGAAUAGUCGGCAAUGGACGAAAGUCCGACCGCGCGACGCCGCGUGUGGGAUGAAGCUCCACAAGAGUGUAAACCACUGUGGUAGGGGAAGAGAUCGGACGGUACCCUACUAGAAAGUAGCCGCUAACUGCGUGCCAGAAGCGUCGGUAAUACGUGGGCUACAAGCAUUAUCCGGUGUCAUUGGGCGUAAAGGGUCGUGUAGGCGGAUCGGUAAGUCACCUUUCAAAUCUUCGGGCUUAACUCGAAAACUGGGGGUGAUACUAUUGGUCUAGAAGUUUCUUUAGGGAGAACGGAACUGUGGGAGGAGUAGUGAAAUGCGUUGAUACCCACGGGAACACCAGUGGCGAAGGCGGUUCUCUAUGAGAAAUCUUGACGCUGAGACACGAAAGUUAGGGGAGCGAAGCAGAUUAGAGACCUGCGUAGUCCUAACCGUAAACGAAUGUAUGCUGGCUGCAUGGUUUGUCGCCUUCGGGCGAUAUUCCGUGUGGCGAAGGUAACCCGUUAAGCAUACCGCCUGGGGAGUACGGCCGCAAGGUUGAAACUCAAAGGAAUUGGCGGGGAGGCACGCAACCAGAGGAACAUGUGGUUUAAUUCGAUACGAACCGAAGAACCUUACCAGGGCUUGACAUGCUAUCGUACAGCCUGCCGGAAACGGUGGGCAAUCCGCAAGGAUGAUAGCACCGGUGAUGCAUGGCUGUCGUCAGUUCGUUCCGUGAGGAGU